UACAUGCAAGUCGAACGAUGAAGUUCCUUCGGGAAUGGAUUAGUGGCGAACGGGUGAGGAACACGUGAGAAACCUGCCUUUCAUUCUGGGAUAACACCGGGAAACCGGUGCUAAUACCGGAUACUCCAUCUUGGCGGCAUCGCCGAGCUGGGAAAAAAUUUUGAUGAAAGAUGGUCUCGCGGCCUAUCAGCUAGUUGGUGAGGUAAAGGCUCACCAAGGCGACGACGGGUAGCCGGCCUGAGAGGGCGACCGGCCACACUGGGACUGAGACACGGCCCAGACUCCUACGGGAGGCAGCAGUAGGGAAUAUUGGGCAAUGGGCGAAAGCCUGACCCAGCGACGCCGCGUGAGGGAUGAAGGUCUUCGGAUUGUAAACCUCUUUCAGUAGGGAAGAAGCGAAAGUGACGGUACCUAAAGAAGAAGCACCGGCUAACUAUGUGCCAGCAGCCGCGGUAAUACAUAGGGUGCAAGCGUUGUCCGGAAUUAUUGGGCGUAAAGAGCUCGUAGGUCGUUUGUCGCGUCGAUUGUGAAAAUCUGAGGCUCAACCUCAGACCUGCAGUCGAUACGGGCAAACUAGAGUGUGGUAGGGGAGACUGGAAUUCCUGGUGUAGCGGUGGAAUGCGCAGAUAUCAGGAGGAACACCAAUGGCGAAGGCAGGUCUCUGGGCCAUAACUGACACUGAGGAGCGAAAGUGCGGGGAGCGAACAGGAUUAGAUACCCUGGUAGUCCGCACCGUAAACGGUGGGCACUAGUUGUGGGAACCUUCCACGGUUUUCCGCGACGCAGCA
rnacentral:rRNA from 1 species